rnacentral:lncRNA from 1 species
UUGUAGCAGCCGGUAGAUCUAAGCAAAGCGCAAUCAGGCUAACGGGGUCGUCACUGACAUAACAUCGACACAGUAUGCGGUCGUCCUCAUUCCGGCUGUUCAGCCCUCGGCAAAGAACGUUACACCAACUUAGCAUACUCGGUUUAUAGGCCUGUAGACAAGCAGCAUUCGUCCGUGUGGCAUGCUGACCGGCCACCAAAAUGUACGGCAGAGUGGGCUAUCCAUGGCAGUUUUGCUUCUAACUGGGCGCUCUUUUGAACGGUGCGCGGGUUCUAGCCCAACGGGUCCCACAGACAACGAAUGAGCUAGCCCAUAGGAGGGUUUACUAGCACCCACGGUGAACUUGGAAGACGGUCGCACGUCUCCGAAACGCCGUUGCGACUUAAUAAGAGAAUUUCGACAACUUCAAAAUCGUUGAGCUAUUAACUCGAUUACUGCAAGCGACUCGCCCUAUUUAUAUCAAAUUCACUGAAAUCUGUAGUUCUAAUAUGACAUUUAGUAGUAAAUGAAAGGAUGAUUCGGAUUUCGGCAGUUAAAUACAUUUCAUAUUUUUACGUGGUGCUUAUCUUAGAACGGUUGGCUGUUUUUGUGAAGCUUUUCAACAGUAUGAAAAAUGGUUUAUCAGUAUGUACCCGUGACAGCUUAAUCAACGACGUAUUUGCACGCUUAUGGACUCGUUGUGUUCGAUCCCCGGUGUAGACACAUUGUGCCUCGUGGCGGGACCCACUUGUCUGACGGAGUGCUCGGCGGCGAUAUCUAACUAUCGUUUCAGACGGCUGGCCAUCAGCACGAAGCAACGCUACGUAUCUGUGAUUAGUUUCGAACCUGGGCUACAUCACAAGCCUGUAUAUUUAGUAGGCGAGAGCUAGAGUCGAGAGUAGUGCAUUACUUCAAUAAAAGAUGCCGUUUUUAAAUCAGCCGUGCACCGCGGGGAGCUCCGAGAGAUGACGCUCAUGAACAAAUGCCAUGCCAGUACCGCCUGCACCGCUGUUCAGAUACUGAUUGUAUCAAAAGAAGCGUUAUUCAAAUGCAGUUAUGGAUAUACGCAGAGAAUUUAGCACCUUGUAUGAACACCAUACAGCGCAAUCAACGU